GACGAACCGUGCGAACGUUGUUCGGAAUCACUGGGCUUAAAGGGCGCGUAGGCGGCGCACCCAGUCCGGGGUGAAAGCCCCCAGCUCAACUGGGGAAGUGCCUCGGAUACUGGUGCGCUCGAGGGAGGUAGGGGCGGAUGGAACUUCCGGUGGAGCGGUGAAAUGCGUUGAUAUCGGAAGGAACGCCGGUGGCGAAAGCGAUCCGCGUGGACCUCUUCUGACGCUGAGGCGCGAAAGCCAGGGGAGCAAACGGG
rnacentral:rRNA from 1 species